AGUAGUGGCGAACGGGUGAGUAACACGUGGGCAAUCUGCCCUGUACUUCGGGACAAGCCCUGGAAACGGGGUCUAAUACCGGAUGGGACUGCCGGCCGCAUGGUCUGGUGGUGGAAAGCUUCGGCGGUACAGGAUGAGCCCGCGGCCUAUCAGCUUGUUUGUGGGGUGAUGGCCUACCAAGGCGACGACGGGUAGCCGGCCUGAGAGGGCGACCGGCCACACUGGGACUGAGACACGGCCCAGACUCCUACGGGAGGCAGCAGUGGGGAAUAUUGCACAAUGGGCGGAAGCCUGAUGCAGCGACGCCGCGUGAGGGAUGACGGCCUUCGGGUUGUAAACCUCUUUCAGCAGGGAAGAAGCCUUUAAAGUGACGGUACCUGCAGAAGAAGCACCGGCUAACUACGUGCCAGCAGCCGCGGUAAUACGUAGGGUGCGAGCGUUGUCCGGAAUUAUUGGGCGUAAAGAGCUCGUAGGCGGCUUGUCGCGUCGGAUGUGAAAGCCCGGGGCUUAACCCUGGGUCUGCAUUCGAUACGGGCAGGCUGGAGUUCGGUAGGGGAGAUCGGAAUUCCUGGUGUAGCGGUGAAAUGCGCAGAUAUCAGGAGGAACACCGGUGGCGAAGGCGGAUCUCUGGGCCGAUACUGACGCUGAGGAGCGAAAGCAUGGGGAGCGAACAGGAUUAGAUACCCUGGUAGU
rnacentral:rRNA from 1 species